rnacentral:lncRNA from 1 species
GACACCCAUUCUUCUUUGCUCCACCCUCAUGUCACCUCAGCUAAUAGCCAAUGUAUGUUCAUUAAAUCUCAAUUUUCUCCCAGCUUCUUCCCUCUCCCUCCUCCUCUUCUUCUUUACCCAUUUGUUCUGAUUCAAAGGAAUCAUAUGGUUCUGUUUUGUAAUGCACUUCUUUGUGGAUUAAGCAUGGGUAUGCCGUACCAAAAUAUGAUAAUUUAAUAUUUAAAAGUACAAAAGCAUAUACAUUAAUGAAUGCGUAAGUCAGAAAAUUAAUCA